UACGUAGGGGGCAAGCGUUGUCCGGAAUCAUUGGGCGUAAAGAGCGCGUAGGCGGUCCGGUAAGUCCGCUCUGAAAGUCCGGGGCUCAACCCCGGGAGGCGGGCGGAUACUGUCGGGCUAGAGUCCUGAAGAGGCGAGUGGAAUUCCUGGUGUAGCGGUGAAAUGCGCAGAUAUCAGGAGGAACACCGAUGGCGAAGGCAGGGCUCUGGGCCGAUACUGACGCUGAGGAGCGAAAGCGUGGGGAGCGAACAGG
rnacentral:rRNA from 1 species